AUGGUUCAUCAGAGGCUUGUCCUGUCCCAGCUGUUUUAUUCUUUCCCAAAGCCUUCAAGUCCCCUUCCUUCUAAGUGCCACUCAGGGAACGUUCUGCGUUUGGGAAAGCAAAGGAGUGUAUAUCCUCACUCCAAAGCCUUUCGAUAUUUCCAUUUAUUUAUAACAGAUUUAUUGCACAUCUACCAUUUGCCGGACACCGUGGGACUCUGGAGACUUACUAAUUUAAAAGGGAGUGGAACGCUCUGUCCCAAGGCUGCGCAUGGUCCAGUCAAAAAGUUUUGUAUGUUUCUUUACAUCCCUCUAAGAGGAAAGUGGUUACAGAUGUACCCUUUACAACAGAAGUCAGCGCGCUGUGGCUCACUGGUUAAAAAUGAACCACCACCUGUGUUCAUAUGGCCCUCAAAGGUAAGAAUGGUUCUUAGCUUUAAAAUUACUUAACUAUAAAACUCUAAAAACAUUCAAAUUGCAGCGUCCAUAAAUAAAGUUUUGUGGGAACACA
rnacentral:lncRNA from 1 species